UGCGCAGGCGGCCGAGUGUGUUAGGCGUGAAAGCCCGUCGCUCAACGACGGAAUUGCACCUAAAACUACUUGGCUAGAGUACUGGAGAGGGUAGUGGAAUUCACGGUGUAGCAGUGAAAUGCGUAGAUAUCGUGAGGAACACCAAUGGCGAAGGCAACUACCUGGACAGUUACUGACGCUCAGGCACGAAAGCGUGGGGAGCAAAGGGAUUAGAUACCCCUGUAGUCCACGCCCUAAACGGUGCACACUAGGUCUUGGCGGAUUCGACCCCGUCAGGGCCCAAGCUAACGCGUUAAGUGUGCCGCCUGAGGACUACGGCCGCAAGGCUAAA
rnacentral:rRNA from 1 species